GACGUAGGGGGCGAGCGUUGUCCGGAUUUAUUGGGCGUAAAGCGUGCGUAGGCGGCUGCGCAAGUCGGGUGUGAAACCCCGGGGCUCAACCCCGGAACUGCAUCCGAUACUGCGUGGCUAGAGGUAGGUAGGGGAGAUCGGAAUUCCUGGUGUAGCGGUGAAAUGCGCAGAUAUCAGGAGGAACACCGAUGGCGAAGGCAGGUCUCUGGGCCACUACUGACGCUGAGAAGCGAAAGCGUGGGGAGCGAACAGG
rnacentral:rRNA from 1 species